AAUCUUGCACAAACGUGCGUCACGUUAAACUGGUACCGUCUCCCGAUGAAACAGGCUCGGUAUGUGGUACUAAUGAUGAUUAUGUCGAAUGAUCCGAUGAAAUUGACUGCGGUGAAAGUGAUGGAUGUAUCUUUAUCGACCUUUAGCGAUAUUAUGAAAGCGUCAAUGGGAUAUUUAAAUAUGCUACGGAACGUGACUUAAUGUCUUAUUAAUUUUGCACAAAACUUAUGAGGCGUAGUAUAGUGUCACUUAGAGAUCUUAUAGCAAUGAAUGCCGAGGUAUAUUUUUUAUUUUAGUUUGCUAGAUUUUACAGUUCCUGGACUACGUGUUUCCAGACACUUAUGCAAAUACCGAAAUUUCAAAAUUUCUUGUAUAAUAACUGCAUGUAAUAUAUUUCUGAAAGCUU